UGGAUGGCAGAAGACCUCAAGAAGAAAUUUCUGACUGUCCAUGGGGAGAAGACUGCCCGGAUCACUGUAGAAACCCUAAAUGACCUUCCGAGGAGGAAGUACCCCAAAGCUCCUCGUGUGAUGGGGAACACCUCUCUUGGUAGGCAGGAAAGAAGCCACAGUUCCCACUUCCUAUAUUGAAAAUCAAAGUUCGUGAAAGAAGAUGUGAGUUGUAGCAUCCAGUCACAAAUGAAAAUACAUACCUGGGCCUAAUAAGAAGUUUAAAGAAGUUUUCCAUCCUAUGAUUAUCUCUCUUGCAAGGAUUUGGGGAUUGUUUACAGUGACUCACAUAAAAGAAGAAGAAACACCAGCAAAUUCUUUUAAAUUAUCAUUUUCUUGAUGGAGCAACAAAUGCAAGCCUUAAGCCAGGACAAGUCCGAGUUUCUGUUUCCAUUCCCAUAUCGAAAAAGUUCCUUCGAUGCCUCGGGGGCCCUGGCAUUGCCUGGUUGGGUCCACGUGAUGAUGGCUAAGCGCGUUACUGGUGACAGUGGCAGCGGAGAAGAGGAGACUGUACACACAGGACGAGUGUCUUUAACAGAGGAAGUGCACUUCAGAGGGCCGGCACAUUUUUAUAUGGAAACUCAAAGUAAAUGUGGUUCCAAGGAUAGAGAAACGGUCAUACACGUGUCAAGCCAGGAUGCAGCAUUUACACAGACUGGCUUCUUGAAUGGUGGGAAAAUCAUGGCGGCAUUGAACACCACAUCAACGGAGGCUGCAUACCAGGUGGUUCAGAACUGA
ensembl:lncRNA